rnacentral:lncRNA from 1 species
GGGAAACGCUAAAGUGUUUAACCCGACGGGACACUGCGGCCUGGCGGCGUUGAUCUCCUGCCGCAGAGCUUCGAUGUGUUUCUGAGUCGGGGUGUGAAACAGUCCGUCUGCUGUUCUCCACAGAAGGGUGGCUCCACACAGGUCAAUGAGGGAGCCAUCUUGUAGGACGUUGGUCUCGUUUUCUACCAGUUUCCCUCUUUGCUGAGCAGAUCUGGUCUCCCGGAGGGUGUAUACAUCCCCACAGACAGAGAUCUCACGCCAAACUCCAGGUUUAGACUCCUCAGUGAACCCUCCUUUUGGAUGCAUGACCAGCACCCCAUUGGUUGUUAACCCAUCCAUGUGGCCAUCAGGAUUUUUCCAUUUUGCUGCUUUUUCACCGAGAAAUAUGUUUUUAGAAGAGUCAAAUCCAGCUGCAAAAAUCCUUGCUGUAUAUGGCGGGCUCCUGUCACAAACAAUCCUGCAUGCAAAGCGGGAUAUGGUGCUCUGUGUAAUCUGAGUUUCGUCGUUGUUUUGGCUCCCAGAAAUAGUAUCUGUCACUACAAAGUCUAUGGGGCUUUCU